GGAUAUGUUAUUUGAUCCAUGUACCCGUAAAGGUUCACUGGAAUCCUACAUGUGAGGGAAAAGAUUCAGGAAAAAAUUGUCAGAAAAACGUACUGAACGGCAGGGUACAAUGGUCAUGUUUCCAGAAAGCGAUUUUUACACAGCAGAAGAACAAAUGGAGGCCGAGGAAUACAUGAGGUUGACGCCUUUAUAUUCAUAUGAUAUAAGAAAUCACAAUAGCAACGAAAUGCUACAUUUGAUGAAAAUUACUUCAAAACCGAAGCGAUUUACCCGCGCCUGGAAGAUUUUACGGAGGCCAUAAAAGAAGAUUUUUGUUACUGAAGAAAGGACUUAUGGAAACCUUCCUGUCCAAUUGGGAGAAGGUGGAGAGUCAAUUACAAGAGUUUGCCAUGCAGAGACUUCUUGAUCAUUUCGGCAAUCUUAAAGAGACAAAAGGAAGCUGUAGGACAGUUCGUAGUAUAAUGUGCUACUUCACGCCGCAGCCAACACACAGCCUGCCCAACAAAAAGUUACCUGGUGUUUUAGAUAUUAAUGGGGCAUAUUUCAUAAAGAUUGAUAAAACAGCAGUCGCACUUGAUUCCAAAUCUUUUGAACAAUUAAUAGGUUACCUCCUAAUGUAUUACCACAUUCUCGAUAUUAUUUUCCCACCAUUAUUGAAAAUUGUGUUAAGAUUUCUUGAAACAAAUGAGAAUCACUUUUUGAAAUAACUACU